rnacentral:rRNA from 1 species
GAUGAACGCUGGCGGCGUGCCUAAUACAUGCAAGUCGAGCGAACGGACGAGAAGCUUGUUUCUCUGAUGUUAGCGGCGGGCGGGUGAGUAACACGUGGAUCCCCUACUUAUAUUACUGGGAUAAUUUCGGGACACCGGCGCUAAUACCGGAUAAUAUUUUGAACCGCAUGGUUCAUAAGAGAAUGACGGUCUUGCUGUCACUUCUAGAUGGUUCCGCGCUGCAUUAGCUAGUUGGUAAGGUAACGGCCUACCAAGGCGACGAUGCGUAGCCGACCUGAGAGAGUGAUCGGCCACACGGGAGCUGAGACACGGUCCAUACUCCUACGGGAGGCAGCAGUAGGGAAUGUUAGGCAAUGGGCGAGAGCCUGACGCAGCGACACCGCGUGAGUGAUGAAGGCCUUCGGAGCGUAAAGCCCUUUUAUUAGGGAAGAACAGAUGUGGAAUGAAACGUGGACAUCUUGACGGUACCUAAUCAGAAAGCAACGGCUAACUACGUG